CCUACGGGUGGCAGCAGUGGGGAAUAUUGCACAAUGGGGGAAACCCUGAUGCAGCGACGCCGCGUGAAGGAAGAAGUAUUUCGGUAUGUAAACUUCUAUCAGCAGGGAAGAAAAUGACGGUACCUGACUAAGAAGCCCCGGCUAACUACGUGCCAGCAGCCGCGGUAAUACGUAGGGGGCAAGCGUUAUCCGGAUUUACUGGGUGUAAAGGGAGCGUAGGCGGUUUAGCAAGUCAGAAGGGAAAGCCCGGGGGCCAAACCCGGGACUGCUUUUGAAACUGUUUAACUUGCUUGCAGAUGAGGUAGGUGGAAUUACUUGUGUAGGGGUGAAAUGCGGAGAUAUUAGGAGGAAAACCGGUGGCGAAGGCGGCUUACUGGACUGUGAAUGACGCUGAGGCUCGAAAGCGUGGGGAGCAAACAGGAUUAGAUACCCGGGUAGUC
rnacentral:rRNA from 1 species